rnacentral:rRNA from 1 species
GAUGAACGCUAGCGAUAGGCCUAACACAUGCAAGUCGAGGGGCAUCACAUGAGGCAGCAAUGCCGAUGGUGGCGACCGGCGCACGGGUGAGUAACACGUAUGCAACCUGCCUUCAACAAGGGGAUAACCCGUUGAAAGACGGACUAAUACCCUAUAACACAGGGGUCCCGCAUGGGAAUAUUUGUUAAAGGACAACCGGUUGAAGAUGGGCAUGCGUUCCAUUAGCUAGUUGGCGGGGUAACGGCCCACCAAGGCAACGAUGGAUAGGGGAACUGAGAGGUUUAUCCCCCACACUGGUACUGAGACACGGACCAGACUCCUACGGGAGGCAGCAGUGAGGAAUAUUGGUCAAUGGACGGCAAGUCUGAACCAGCCACGUCGCGUGAAGGAAGACGGCCCUACGGGUUGUAAACUUCUUUUAUACGGGAAUAAAGUGCCCCACGUGUGGGGUUUUGGCAAGUACCGUAUGAAUAAGGAUCGGCUAAC